UCCGAGUUUCUCUCGGCAGUCGGGUCUGAGUGAUACAACAGACCCCGAGGGUUGCGCUCGUUGCGGGACUUAACCCAACAUCUCACGACACGAGCUGACGACAGCCGUGCAACACCUGUGCAAGCUCCCUUGCGGGUCGUUUGCCUUUCAGCUCACUACCACUUGCAUGUCAAGCCUGGGUAAGGUUCUUCGCGUACCAUCGAAUUAAACCGCACGCUCCGCUGCUUGUGCGGGCCCCCGUCAAUUUCUUUGAGUUUUAACCUUGCGGUCGUACUCCCCAGGCGGGUCACUUAAUGCGUUGGCUACGGCACUGCCGGGGUCGAUACCGACAACACCUAGUGACCAUCGUUUACGGCUAGGACUAA
rnacentral:misc_RNA from 1 species